rnacentral:rRNA from 1 species
UACGAAGGGGGCUAGCGUUGCUCGGAAUCACUGGGCGUAAAGGGUGCGUAGGCGGGUCUUUAAGUCAGGGGUGAAAUCCUGGAGCUCAACUCCAGAACUGCCUUUGAUACUGAAGAUCUUGAGUUCGGGAGAGGUGAGUGGAACUGCGAGUGUAGAGGUGAAAUUCGUAGAUAUUCGCAAGAACACCAGUGGCGAAGGCGGCUCACUGGCCCGGUACUGACACUGAGGUGCGAAAGCGUGGGGAGCAAACAGG